AUCUUUGUUGCAGGUUACCCUUGAUGCUUCCAACUCUUCAGUCUUGCAUCGUGGAACUUAUUAACACUAGAACUACUAAACUAAUCAAAAUAUCAGAUUUCCAGUUAAUUUGGAAGAUCAAGUCCUAGUAUCUUCUCAUCAAAACCAAAGGAAGGUUAACAUCGAUCCCAUUAAAGUCCAAACUAUCCAUGAACUUCCAUUCACGUUAAUGAUCUCCGCACAAGUGUUUAAGAGAUUCGCACAAGCAGACUGGAACUUGAUAGAACAAUCCAAUGUACUAUCAGAAGACUCGCAAACCGAGUUAAAGACAACGAAGAUGAAGCAGUACUCACCGUGGAUAUCGAA